GAAGGGGGCUAGCGUUGUUCGGAUUUACUGGGCGUAAAGCGCGUGUAGGCGGGUCGUUAAGUUGGGGGUGAAAUCCCGGAGCUCAACUCCGGAACUGCCUCCAAAACUGGCGACCUGGAGCAGAUGAGAGGCGAGUGGAAUUCCAAGUGUAGAGGUGAAAUUCGUAGAUAUUCGGAGGAACACCAGUGGCGAAGGCGACUCGCUGGCAUCUUGCUGACGCUGAGACGCGAAAGCGUGGGGAGCAAACAGGAUUAGAUACCCUGGUAGUCCACGCUGUAAACGAUGAGAGCUAGUUGUCGGCACGCAUGCGUGUCGGUGACGCAGCUAACGCAUUAAGCUCUCCGCCUGGGGAGUACGGCCGCAAGGUUA
rnacentral:rRNA from 1 species